rnacentral:rRNA from 1 species
AUUGAACGCUGGCGGCAUGCCUUACACAUGCAAGUCGAACGGCAGCACGGGAGCAAUCCUGGUGGCGAGUGGCGAACGGGUGAGUAAUAUAUCGGAACGUGCCCAGUCGUGGGGGAUAACGUAGCGAAAGCUACGCUAAUACCGCAUACGAUCUAUGGAUGAAAGACGGGGGAGUCGCAAGACCUCGCGCGAUUGGAGCGGCCGAUAUCAGAUUAGGUAGUUGGUGGGGUAAAGCCUACCAAGCCUUCGAUCUGUAGCUGGUCUGAGAGGACGACCAGCCACACUGGAACUGAGACACGGUCCAGACUCCUACGGGAGGCAGCAGUGGGGAAGUUUUGGUACGAAUAGGGCGGC